CCAGAAAUCUCUGCCAGUUGAAGUGUGGCAGUUGGUUCCUUCCAGCUGUUCUUAAAGGGUCUCUUUAUCUUCCUGAUAUAUGGGGUAUACAACACAGAGGGAGGCUGCACCUGGAUUACACGCGGUUUCCUUUUCCAGUAGCCUUCAGGUAGGUUGGCAGUAAGACAACUUUUUUUUUUUUUUGCAACGGUACCUCUAUUGCGGUUUCCAAGUAGAUUCCUCUGAUAAAUGCAAAGGGAUACGCGCCCAUUAUUAAAGUUCACCCAAACUAAGAGGGGUAACAGAAACAAUCUUUUUAAAUAAACGUUAAGCAUUUGACGUUGAAUGCUUUUAGGUAUAACGAAAGGGUCCUAAGUGACCCACUUCUGGAUUUGGAUUUGAUUUAAUACCCAGACUGCAAACUGCAAAGCAGAGAGCGCCCCAGGCGCCAGGCCUCAGUUUCCCCACCAGGCCCCCUCCAACUCCCCGCCACGCUGCGAACCCGGCCCGCGCAACUUCCCGCCUGGGCUUCCCCCUGCCAGCGUCUUUCCCCCAGAAGCCCUCGCCCACGCCCGCCCCCUUCGGGGAGGCCCACCAAUCACGCCCUCCCCGCUCCGAGGCCGUCUCUUAGAGGGGCUCCGAGUCCC